GGGUGAUUAGCUCAGCUGGGAGAGCGCCUCCCUUACAAGGAGGGGGUCGGCGGUUCGAUUCCGUCAUCACCCACCA
rnacentral:tRNA from 1 species